GACGAACGCUGGCGGCGUGCUUAACACAUGCAAGUCGUGCGGAAAGGCCCCUUUGGGGUGCUCGAGCGGCGAACGGGUGAGUAACACGUGAGUAAUCUGCCCUGCACUUUGGGAUAACUGCCGGAAGCGGUGGCUAAUACUGGAUAGGACUGCAUCCUGCAUGGGUGUGGUGGAAAGCCUUUGGGUGGUGUGGGAUGUGCUCGCGGCCUAUCAGCUUGAUGGUGGGUAGUGGCCUACCAUGGCUUUGACGGGUAGCCGGCCUGAGAGGGUGACCGGUCACACUGGGACUGAGACACGGCCCAGACUCCUGCGGGAGGCAGCAGUGGGGAAUAUUGGACAAUGGGCGGAAGCCUGAUCCAGCAACGCCGCGUGAGGGAUGACGCCGGGUCGUUGUAACCGUAC
rnacentral:rRNA from 1 species